rnacentral:rRNA from 1 species
GUAGUCAUAUGCUUGUCUCAAAGAUUAAGCCAUGCAUGUCUAAGUAUAAGCAAUCUAUACAGUGAAACUGCGAAUGGCUCAUUAAAUCAGUUAUCGUUUAUUUGAUAGUACCUUACUACUUGGAUAACCGUGGUAAUUCUAGAGCUAAUACAUGCUAAAAACCCCGACCUCUGGAAGGGGUGUAUUUAUUAGAUAAAAAACCAAUGCCUUCGGGCUCCUUGGUGAUUCAUGAUAACUUUACGAAUCGCAUGGCCUUGCGCCGGCGAUGGUUCAUUCAAAUUUCUGCCCUAUCAACUUUCGAUGGUAGGAUAGUGGCCUACCAUGGUUUCAACGGGUAACGGGGA